UACAGAGGUGGCAAGCGUUGUUCGGAAUUACUGGGCGUAAAGGGCGCGUAGGCGGUCCUACAAGUCCCGCGUGAAAGCCCCCGGCUCAACUGGGGAAUCGCGCGGGAAACUGUUGGGCUUGAGUUCGGGAGAGGGAAGCGGAAUUCCGGGUGUAGCGGUGAAAUGCGUAGAUAUCCGGAGGAACACCCGUAGCGAAGGCGGCACUCUGGGCCGAUACUGACACUGAGGAGCGAAAGCAUGGGGAGCGAACAGG
rnacentral:rRNA from 1 species